rnacentral:rRNA from 1 species
GACGAACGCUGGCGGCGUGCCUAAUACAUGCAAGUAGAACGCUGAAGAGAGGAGCUUGCUCUUCUUGGAUGAGUUGCGAACGGGUGAGUAACGCGUAGGUAGCCUGCCUUGUAGCGGGGGAUAACUAUUGGAAACGAUAGCUAAUACCGCAUAACAAUGGAUGACACAUGCCAUUUAUUUGAAAGGGGCAAUUGCUCCACUACAAGAUGGACCUGCGUUGUAUUAGCUAGUAGGUGAGGUAAUGGCUCACCUAGGCGACGAUACAUAGCCGACCUGAGAGGGGUAUCGGCCACACUGGGAAUGAGACACGGCCCAGACUCCUACGGGAGGCAGCAGUAGGGAAUCUUCGGCAAUGGGGGCAACCCUGACCGAGCAACGCCGCGUGAGUGAAGAAGGGUGUCGGAUCGUAAAGCUCUGUUGUAAGUCAAGAACGGGUGUGAGAGUGGAAAGUUCACACUGUGACGGUAGCUUAACAGAAAGGGACGGCUAACUACGUG